UACGGGGGGGGCAAGCGUUGUUCGGAAUUACUGGGCGUAAAGGGCUCGUAGGCGGCCAACUAAGUCAGACGUGAAAUCCCUAGGCUCAACCUAGGAACUGCGUCUGAUACUGGAUGGCUUGAAUCCGGGAGAGGGAUGCAGAAUUCCAGGUGUAGCGGUGAAAUGCGUAGAUAUCUGGAGGAAUACCGGUGGCGAAGGCGGCAUCCUGGACCGGCAUUGACGCUGAGGCGCGAAAGCCAGGGGAGCAAAGCGGG
rnacentral:rRNA from 1 species